rnacentral:rRNA from 1 species
GAUGAACGCUGGCGGCGUGCCUAAUACAUGCAAGUCGAGCGAACGGACGAGAAGCUUGCUUCUCUGACGUUAGCGGCGGACGGGUGAGUAACACGUGGAUAACCUACCUAUAAGACUGGGAUAACUUCGGGAAACCGUAGCUAAUACCGGAUAAUAUUUUGAACCGCAUGGUUCAAAAGUGAAAGACGGUCUUGCUGUCACUUAUAGAUGGAUCCGCGCUGCAUUAGCUAGUUGGUAAGGUAACGGCUUACCAAGGCAACGAUGCAUAGCCGACCUGAGAGGGUGAUCGGCCACACUGGAACUGAGACACGGUCCAGACUCCUACGGGAGGCAGCAGUAGGGAAUCUUCCGCAAUGGGCGAAAGCCUGACGGAGCAACGCCGCGUGAGUGAUGAAGGUCUUCGGAUCGUAAAACUCUGUUAUUAGGGAAGAACAUAUGUGUAAGUAACUGUGCACGUCUUGACGGUACCUAAUCAGAAAGCCACGGCUAACUACGUG